GACGAACGCUGGCGGCGUGCCUAAUACAUGCAAGUCGAGCGCAGGAAACUGACGGAACUCUUCGGAGGGAAGGCAGUGGAAUGAGCGGCGGACGGGUGAGUAACACGUAAGGAACCUGCCUCAAGGAUUGGGAUAACUCCGAGAAAUCGGAGCUAAUACCGGAUAGUUCAUCGGACCGCAUGGUCCGCUGAUGAAAGGCGCUUCGGCGUCACCUUGAGAUGGCCUUGCGGUGCAUUAGCUAGUUGGUGGGGUAACGGCCCACCAAGGCGACGAUGCAUAGCCGACCUGGGAGGGUGAUCGGCCACACGGGGACUGAGACACGGCCCAGACUCCUACGGGAGGCAGCAGUAGGGAAUCUUACACAAUGGACGAAAGUCUGAUGGAGCAACGCCGCGUGAGUGAUGAAGGUUUUCGGAUCGUAAAACUCUGUUGUAAGGGAAGAACACGUACGAGAGGGAAUGCUCGUACCUUGACGGUACCUUACGAGAAAGCCACGGCUAACUACGUGCCAGCCGCCGCGGUAAUAC
rnacentral:rRNA from 1 species